GAUGAACGCUGGCGGCGUGCUUAACACAUGCAAGUCGAACGGAAAGGCCUCUGCUUGCAGGGGUACUCGAGUGGCGAACGGGUGAGUAACACGUGGGUGAUCUGCCCUGCACUUCGGGAUAAGCCUGGGAAACUGGGUCUAAUACCGGAUAGGACAAUGGUUUGGAUGCUGUUGUGGAAAGUUUUUCGGUGUGGGAUGAGCUCGCGGCCUAUCAGCUUGUUGGUGGGGUAAUGGCCUACCAAGGCGUCGACGGGUAGCCGGCCUGAGAGGGUGUACGGCCACAUUGGGACUGAGAUACGGCCCAGACUCCUACGGGAGGCAGCAGUGGGGAAUAUUGCACAAUGGGCGCAAGCCUGAUGCAGCGACGCCGCGUGGGGGAUGACGGCCUUCGGGGUGUAAACUCCUUUCGCUAGGGACGAAGCGUUUUUGUGACGGUACCUGGAGAAGAAGCACCGGCUAACUACGUG
rnacentral:rRNA from 1 species